AUUAGAGUUUGAUCCUGGCUCAGAUUGAACGCUGGCGGCAGGCCUAACACAUGCAAGUCGGCGGAUGAGAAGAGCUUGCUCUUCGAUUCAGCGGCGGACGGGUGAGUAAUACCUAGGAAUCUGCCUGGUAGUGGGGGACAACGUUUCGAAAGGAACGCUAAUACCGCAUACGUCCUACGGGAGAAAGCAGGGGACCUUCGGGCCUUGCGCUAUCAGAUGAGCCUAGGUCGGAUUAGCUAGUUGGUGAGGUAAUGGCUCACCAAGGCUACGAUCCGUAACUGGUCUGAGAGGAUGAUCAGUCACACUGGAACUGAGACACGGUCCAGACUCCUACGGGAGGCAGCAGUGGGGAAUAUUGGACAAUGGGCGAAAGCCUGAUCCAGCCAUGCCGCGUGUGUGAAGAAGGUCUUCGGAUUGUAAAGCACUUUAAGUUGGGAGGAAGGGCAGUAAGCGAAUACCUUGCUGUUUUGACGUUACCGACAGAAUAAGCACCGGCUAACUCUGUGCCAGCAGCCGCGGUAAUACAGAGGGUGCAAGCGUUAAUCGGAAUUACUGGGCGUAAAGCGCGCGUAGGUGGUUCGUUAAGUUGGAUGUGAAAUCCCCGGGCUCAACCUGGGAACUGCAUCCAAAACUGGCGAGCUAGAGUAGGGCAGAGGGUGGUGGAAUUUCCUGUGUAGCGGUGAAAUGCGUAGAUAUAGGAAGGAACACCAGUGGCGAAGGCGACCACCUGGGCUCAUACUGACACUGAGGUGCGAAAGC
rnacentral:rRNA from 1 species